GGUAGGAUGGCUGAACAAUAAGCAUUAGACUGUAAAUCUAAAGAUAAAGGUUUAUACUCCUUUUCUUACCA
rnacentral:tRNA from 2 species